rnacentral:misc_RNA from 1 species
GGAUCACUCCUCCGCCUCAGUUGUCACCAGAACUGGGAGAUAUUCCACGGAGUAACUUCCAGUUUGAUUUUGAGUUUGAGCGAAAAAUUUUGGCUGAAGCUGAGAAGGAAACCCAGAACUGGAGCAGGCUUGGGUUGGAAAAUCUUCCAUCUAAACCAACAGAAUCAGCUUCUUCAUUGGGUUCAACUGUAGAUCCUGUAGUAAGCAAAUAUAUUGCAUCAGGACUCAAUCGGGAAGCUGUUCGUCUUGCUGUUGCUAACUAUGGUGACAAUCCGACUAAGGUUCAGGAAUUUGUCAAUGGCUACACCCUUUUAAGAGAAAUGGGAUUUGCAUCAAACAAUGUUGCUGAAGCUUUACACAUGUACGACAAUGACGCAGACAAGGCAUUGACACAUUUUCUUAACAGCACAUCGUAAACAUACUGGAAACGUGUGGCUGAAUCCUGAAUGAGCGUGGUGUGGGUGGUGGCAUACCCACUAUACAAGGGCAU